GGGGGGAAAAUUAAUAAUUUAUAGUUAAUAAAAAAAAUUUUAGUAUUAAAAAUAUAUAAUGGGGGUUAAAGUAUUUUUAAUAGAAAAAAUUUAUAGAUUUAUAGUUUAGUAGUAUUGUAAAAUAAAUUUUAAAUAAGUUAAAUAUUAAAUUAAAUUAAAGUAAAUUUUAUUUAUUGUAUCUUGUGUAUCAGAGUUUAUUAAGAAUGUAAUUUUAUAUAAAAUAAUCUCGAAUUUAAAAGAGUUAAUUAAUUAAUAAAGUUAAUGUUGAAUAAUUAUUUUAAAUAAUUAAUUAGAAAUGAAAUGUUAAUCGUUUUUAAAUAUAUCUAGUUUUUUUAGAAAAAAAUUUAAUUUUAAAUUUAAAUAAUUUUAUGAUUAUUUAAAUUAAUUAUAAAAAUUUAAAAUUUUAUAUAUUAAGGGAUAAGCUUUAAAUUAAAAAUUUAUAAUAAAUAUAAAAUUUAAUUAAAAUUUUUAAAAUUUAUAUUGUUUAGAAAUUAUAAUUUAUUAUAAAAAAUUUUAAUUAAAUUAAAAUUUAAAAAUAAAAUUUAAUUUUUUAUAAAAAAAUAAUUUUUAAUAAAAUAAAAAUUAAUAAUAAUGAUAAAAUUAGUAUAAUUAAUAAUAAAAAAGUAAAUUAAAUAAAAGUUAAGCUAAAGGAAUUCGGCAAAAAUUUAUAUUCACUUGUUUAUCAAAAACAUGUCUUUUUGAGUAAUAAUUUAAAGUCUAAUCUGCCCACUGAUAAUAAAUUAAAGGGCUGCAGUAUAUUGACUGUACAAAGGUAGCAUAAUCAAUAGUCUUUUAAUUGAAGACUUGUAUGAAAGAUUUAAUGAGAUAUAGACUGUCUCUAGUUUAUUAAUAAAAAUUAAUUUUUUAGUUAAAAAGCUAAAAUAAAAUUAAAAGACGAGAAGACCCUAUAGAGUUUUAUAUUUAAUUUAUUUAUAGUAAAAUAUAAAAUUAAUUAUUAAAAUUUAAAUUAAAUAUUUUAUUGGGGUGAUAAAAAAAUUAGAAAAACUUUUUUUAUAAAAAAACAUAAAUAAAUGAAUAAUUGAUCCAUUAAUAAUGAUUAAAAGAAAAAAUUACCUUAGGGAUAACAGCGUAAUAUUUUUUUUUAGUACAAAUAAAAAAAAAAGUUUGCGACCUCGAUGUUGGAUUAAGAUAAAAUUUAAAUGCAAAAGUUUAAAAUUUUGAUCUGUUCGAUCAUUAAAAUCUUACAUGAUCUGAGUUCAAACCGGUGUGAGCCAGGUUGGUUUCUAUCUUUAAUAAAUUAUAAUAUUUUA
rnacentral:rRNA from 1 species